rnacentral:rRNA from 1 species
UACAGAGGGUGCAAGCGUUAAUCGGAAUUACUGGGCGUAAAGCGUGCGUAGACGGUUACAUAAGUCGGGUGUGAAAGCCCCGGGCUCAACCUGGGAAUUGCAUUCGAGACUGCGUAGCUAGGGUGCGGAAGAGGGAAGCGGAAUUUCCGGUGUAGCGGUGAAAUGCGUAGAUAUCGGAAGGAACACCAGUGGCGAAAGCGGCUUCCUGGUCCAGCACCGACGUUCAGGUACGAAAGCAUGGGGAGCAAACAGG